rnacentral:rRNA from 1 species
UAACGAAUCUUCCGCAAUGCACGAAAGUGUGACGGAGCGACGCCGCGUGUGGGACGAAGCCCCUCGGGGUGUAAACCACUGUCAGGGGAUAGAAAGUUCUGAUCAUCCCCAGAGGAAGGCACGGCUAACUCUGUGCCAGCAGCCGCGGUAAGACAGAGGUGCCAAGCGUUAGGCGGAAUCACUGGGCUUAAAGCGUGUGUAGGCGGAUCGUUAAGUGCUUUGUGAAAUCCCAUGGCUUAACCAUGGAACUGCUUGGCAUACUGGCGAUCUUGAGCGACCUAGGGGCGAGCGGAACAAAUGGUGGAGCGGUGAAAUGCGUAGAUAUCAUUUGGAACGCCAAAGGUGAAAACAGCUCGCUGGGGGUCUGCUGACGCUGAGACACGAAAGCCAGGGGAGCGAACGGGAUUAGAUACCCCGGUAGUCC